ACGUAGGAACCGAGCGUUGUCCGGAUUUACUGGGCGUAAAGGGCGCGUAGGCGGCCCGUUAAGUCUCAUGUGAAAUCUCCCGGCCCAACUGGGAGGGGUCAUGAGAAACUGACGGGCUCGAGGUCAGCAGAGGAGAGUGGAAUUCCCGGAGUAGUGGUGAUAUGCGUAGAUACCGGGAGGAACACCCGAGGCGAAGGCGACUCUCUGGGCUGAAUCUGACGCUGAGGCGCGAAAGCAUGGGGAGCAAACCGG
rnacentral:rRNA from 1 species